CUGAAUCAAUUGCAUUAAGAAAUCAAAAGAAGAAGUAAGGGAGUUCGAAAUCUUCUGUCUACAAGUGAGUUUCUUAUUUUUUUCUCCCAAAAGCUCUCUAGCUAAAUCUCACAAAAUUCUGUGAAUAGAAUAAAGCGUAUGUCUCAACAAUGACAUUAAAACCCUAAUUAUAGCCUAAAACACGAAGAUGAUUUUUUUUUUUUGUGGCAAAAUAAUAGGAACUUUAGGGCAAAUCUACAAAUCUUCAAACUUGUUAAAACUAGUUGGAGACUUGUGUCGCGAUCAGUGUCGACUGACACCCAUAGAUGGUGUCAAUCAACACCAACUUUAAAGAUGGUACGUCUCUGAGUUGCUAUU
rnacentral:lncRNA from 1 species